UACGUAGGGUGCGAGCGUUAAUCGGAAUUACUGGGCGUAAAGCGUGCGCAGGCGGCGCGUUAAGACAGGUGUGAAAGCCCCGAGCUUAACUUGGGAAUUGCGCUUGUGACUGGCGUGCUGGAGUGUGGCAGAGGGAGGUGGAAUUCCACGUGUAGCGGUGAAAUGCGUAGAUAUCUGGAGGAACACCGGUGGCGAAGGCGGCAUCCUGGACCAAUUCUGACACUGAGGAGCGAAAGCCAGGGGAGCAAACGGG
rnacentral:rRNA from 1 species